rnacentral:rRNA from 1 species
CUGGCGGCAGGCCUAACACAUGCAAGUCGAGCGCUACCUUCGGGUGGAGCGGCGGACGGGUUAGUAACGCGUGGGAACGUACCCAGAUCUAAGGAAUAGCCACUGGAAACGGUGAGUAAUACCUUAUACGCCCUUCGGGGGAAAGAUUUAUCGGAUUUGGAUCGGCCCGCGUUAGAUUAGAUAGUUGGUGGGGUAAUGGCCUACCAAGUCUACGAUCUAUAGCUGGUUUUAGAGGAUGAUCAGCAACACUGGGACUGAGACACGGCCCAGACUCCUACGGGAGGCAGCAGUGGGGAAUCUUGGACAAUGGGCGCAAGCCUGAUCCAGCCAUGCCGCGUGAGUGAUGAAGGCCUUAGGGUCGUAAAGCUCUUUCGCCAGAGAUGAUAAUGACAGUAUCUGGUAAAGAAACCCCGGCUAACUCCGUGCCAGCAGCCGCGGUAAUACGGAGGGGGUUAGCGUUGUUCGGAAUUACUGGGCGUAAAGCGUACGUAGGCGGAUUAGUCAGUCAGAGGUGAAAUCCCAGGGCUCAACCCUGGAACUGCCUUUGAUACUGCUAGUCUUGAGUUCGAGAGAGGUGAGUGGAAUUCCAAGUGUAGAGGUGAAAUUCGUAGAUAUUUGGAGGAACACCAGUGGCGAAGGCGGCUCACUGGCUCGAUACUGACGCUGAGGUACGAAAGUGUGGGGAGCAAACAGGAUUAGAUACCCUGGUAGUCCACACCGUAAACGAUGAAUGCCAGUCGUCGGGCAGUAUACUGUUCGGUGACACACCUAACGGAUUAAGCAUCC